CUUGUAUCCUUGUGCUUUGUAGUCUGAAAAAACUCAUAAAUUCUCAGUGUUCUCAUCAGCUUGGUCUCUUGUUAGAGAUGAGACUAAAGUUAAACAAGAUCAGCAAAUUC
rfam:Arabis alpina cultivar Pajares chromosome 1, whole genome shotgun sequence.